rnacentral:ncRNA from 2 species
CGAAUCCACUAGGGGCGCCCUUGCGGGCUGAGAUAAGGCGAAUCCGCCUUGGUCCCUUUGAACCUGAUCUGGGUAAUGCCAGCGUAGGAAAGUGGGAAGGCUUCGGA